AAGACGAGCAAGGCCAUGUCAACGCCCAUCAUCCCAACCAAGGACUCAUAGAGUCCCGCGCCCAAGCCAUCGCGAAUUCUUCCAAUUCGCAAAAGCACGGCUCGACCACCCAUCACGAUCACCAGAAGUUGGCCAAGCAGCGAUGGCAAGCACUCCCCUCGAGACCAUCCUGACCGGAGCAACGAUGGGUGGGAUCACAUCAUCGGGGACAAGGAAGUAAACAAGAUCUACAUUGCUCUUCAUUCUUUUAGAUCAUCUGAUUCUUCUCAGUCCUAAAAAAGUAGCUCUGUUAUGUUCAUUUUGAGCACCAAUAUCUCUAUAUCUCUCUGCUUCUGUUUUAUCUGUGGAAGUAGUAGACACCAUGUGUAUAUUAAAAUGAACUCCCUCUAUAUUGAGUAAAUUGAGAUGAACUCCCUCUAUAUUGAAUAAUUGAGAUUGAGUUGUUGCAAA